rnacentral:rRNA from 1 species
UAAUACGGAGGGUGCGAGCGUUGUUCGGAAUUAUUGGGCGUAAAGCGCGUGCAGGCGGUCUGUUAAGUCUGGUGUGAAAGCCCGGGGCUCAACCCCGGAAGUGCAUUGGAUACUGGCAGACUUGAGUAUGGGAGAGGAAAGCGGAAUUCCGAGUGUAGGAGUGAAAUCCGUAGAUAUUCGGAGGAACACCAGUGGCGAAGGCGGCUUUCUGGACCAAUACUGACGCUGAGACGCGAAAGCGUGGGGAGCAAACAGGAUUAGAUACCCUGGUAGUCCACGCCGUAAACGAUGGGCACUAGGUGUUGCGGGUAACCACUCCUGCAGUGCCGAAGCUAACGCAUUAAGUGCCCCGCCUGGGGAGUACGGCCGCAAGGCUA